rnacentral:rRNA from 1 species
AGAAGCCCCGGCUAACUACGUGCCAGCAGCCGCGGUAAUACGUAGGGGGCAAGCGUUAUCCGGAUUCAUUGGGCGUAAAGCGCUCGUAGGCGGUCUGUUAGGUCGGGAGUUAAAUCCGGAGGCUCAACCUCCGCCCGCUCCCGAUACCGGCAGACUUGAGUUUGGUAGGGGAAGGUGGAAUUCCUAGUGUAGCGGUGGAAUGCGCAGAUAUUAGGAAGAACACCAGUGGCGAAGGCGGCCUUCUGGGCCAUAACUGACGCUGAGGAGCGAAAGCUAGGGGAGCAAACAGGAUUAGAUACCCUGGUAGUCCUAGCUGUAAACGAUGGACACUAGGUGUGGGAGAAUACGUCUUCCGUGCCGCAGCUAACGCAUUAAGUGUCCCGCCUGGGGAGUACGGCCGCAAGGCUAAAACUCAAAGGAAUUGACGGGGACCCGCACAAGCAGCGGAGCAUGUGGUUUAAUUCGAAGCAACGCGAAGAACCUUACCAGGACUUGACAUCCCUCUGAAAUCCCGAGUAAAGUUGGGAGUUCUACGGACAGAGGAGACAGGUGGUGCAUGGUUGUCGUCAGCUCGUGUCGUGAGAUGUUGGGUUAAGUCCCGCAACGAGCGCAACCCUCGUCGCAUGUUGCCAGCGGUCCGGCCGGGCACCCAUGCGAGACCGCCGGCGUCAAGCCGGAGGAAGGUGGGGACGACGUCAAGUCAUCAUGCCCCUUAUGUCCUGGGCUACACACGUGCUACAAUGGCCGGCACAAUGAGCUGCCAACCCGCAAGGGUGAGCGAAUCUCUAAAGCCGGUCCCAGUUCGGAUUGGAGGCUGCAACCCGCCUCCAUGAAGUCGGAGUUGCUAGUAAUCGCGGAUCAGCACGCCGCGGUGAAUGCGUUCCCGGGCCUUGUACACACCGCCCGUCACACCACCCGAGUCGUCUGCACCCGAAGUCGUCGGCCCAACCCGCGAGGGGGGGAGGCGCCGAAGGUGUGGAGGGUAAGGGGGGUGAAGUCGUAACAAGGUAGCCGUACCGGAAGGUGCGGCUG